UCGCAUGUUUCCGAACUCUAGAGCCCGUGAAAAAAAGACACAUCCCCACGAACAAUUCCAGCCACCACCCACAAUUCCCCACCACCCCGAUCUGGCGCGCCUCCACCCACCUCCGUCGGCCACCAGCGUGACGCCCACCCCAAGCCACCGGCGCCACGCCUCCACCCACCGCCGCUGGCCGCAGUGCCCCGCAGCCCCCACUGCCGCCUGCCGUUGGCGGGGCCUCCUCCAAUCCCCACGCGGCGCGUCCUCCCGAGCUACUUGAUGCGCCAUUGUGGUCCGCCUCAACCUCCCAUCGGCCUCCUCCCGCGAAGCUGCCGCCGACCUCUCAAUCGCGCGUGCCCGCCGCAUCCACCGAAUCGAGCGUCGUCGCCCGCCCCGACCAUGCAUGCCGCCCCCUCAAGGACCGGAUUACAGGCCCAUGUCUCCGGCGAAGCCGUCAUUCAGGGGUCCGACAUCGAUGGCAGGGGUCAGAUGCCUUGGUCUCGUGACCUCCGGUCGCCGUAUCCCUCCUGCAUGCGUCCCUCACCUACGCAUCUCCAUCUCACCAUGGACAGCUUCCUCGUCAGGCUUGAACUUCUUCUCCAGCCUCCGCCCUGCUACUCUAGCUGUCCUCGUUGAAGUCCCCCGACUGCCGUGUGCUUCUCCCCUGCCUCUUGUCACCUCCGGCUCCCCAACCUCCUGGCUCAGGUACCACACAAUAUGCUAGAUGAUGUUGGUCAGAAAUACUUUUGUAAUGGCCGCUGCUAGCUACUGCUACAGUCGCCAAUUGCUAGCUGCUACUAGUGCGUGUGCACUGCACUGAAUUCUUACGAUCUACAAAAACUUGCUGCUGUUAUUUGUGCUAAAAAGACAGGAAGUUCAAUAUGCAAACCUUACAAAGUUCUGGUUAAAAUACAAAAGAGAAAGUUCACUAUGCUAAACAUAAAAAGGGCAUGAAUUCCACUUUGAGAAACCAGGGAUUGUUCUCUGUUGUAACCUCCGUGAGUUCAAGAUUAAAAAUGUAUUGUAUUGGGAAUUUGAUUUUGUAUCGCUCCAAUUUAUUGAUAACUAGCACUAGCAUAUGGAAUCUCUUGAAAAACAUUUUCUAAUGCAGGAAAAAAAAUGGUCACAUUAUUUUACUCGGCACUGAUGUGCAUGUUGCCUCCGUCAUUGCAUCCUCCAGCUCAAUCCCAUCGUUGCAGUCCAACGACUCCAGUUGCAACCGUUCGCCACUAUUGUGCGAGGUAAGAUGGAUCUCAACAUCUGGCUCCCGGUAGGCCACUGCCUUGUGAAAAGGCCACCGGCCUUGCAUCCUCCCGCACGAUGUGCGCCACCACCGGGACCCGGCCUGCAAAGCACGAUGCUGGCUGUUCACAGCCGUCGGGCCACCACUCCCUGGAUCGGGGCUGCUGUGCUCGCGAAAUGUGUGUGUGCUAAUUGACGCUGAUUGAAGCUCAUCUCCUCCCUCGCGUAUGCAUCAGCAAAAACUGUGUGGGUUCGCUGUAGUCCAAGUUGUGCCACAGCAGUAGGGCAACUCUUCCAGGACGCAUCUCAUCUCAACUAGCUCCAAUUUUGCGCGCAUGGGGUGGUGCUGCUCCAGCAAGCUCCUUCGUCCCCGGCCCGUCCCUGAAUGCGGAUGCAGCACCGCAGGUUCAAGUUCACCAUGCAUCCCUGACGUAGCACUGCUCCGGCUCCUCCCCCGCUUGUUGCCAGGUCUGUCUCUCCUUCCUCCCCUGCUCGCUGUCUUUUGCGGAGGUGGACACGGCUACCUGAUGGAGUGAAGUCGGCCUCCCAGCACCGGCAGUUGUAAAAAAAUAAAUAACAACAACAAGUUCAGAAUCAGAAAAAUGAGAAGUUCAAGAAGAACAAAGGUGCUGCCUUCACUCAAGUUCUUGCAAAUUGCUAGGCUGUAGCUCGUAUAUUGUUUGCAACUAUCUUCAGUUUCUUUAGUAGCUCGUACACAUUUUGCUGAAAGCUAGUACUUUCAUAAUCGUAAAGUUGAUAGUUGGCCUACAGGGAUAACCAUGUUGAUCGUGAUUGAAAAAGGAUUAUGAAAUAAUAUUAUUGAGACUGAAGGCCAAGUUUGAUGCA